rnacentral:misc_RNA from 1 species
GGAAGAUGUAGCGUGGAGACCUCAAAUAUAAAUUAUAUACGUAUACGAGUCGUGCAAGAUUUUACCCCCCAUUUCAGAAAAAUUCCGAUGAGUUUAUGUCAUGAGGGUGAUCUGAUCGGUGAUUACAUCAUAUUCUGUUCCAACUAUUUUAGCAUUGGCAUGGCCACGGUCAGCUCUGGCCGGAACCAAAUUGAUUUAAUUCGAAAUUAAAAUCAAACUAACAUUUAUCUUAAUCGACCAAUUACUGGCCAGCCUAAUAUGAAUUGGGUCUUGCAAUAACCCCCAGUCCACCGCUCGCAUUCUGAGAAUCACUUGGCAUCAAAACUUUUUGACAUUCACCAAACCCAGAAAAUGUAGAAAUGUAUUUGCCGAAUUCGAAACAAACUAUCAUUGCCAUCUCUGAUCUUAUGUGUUGCCACUGCAAUUGCAAAAAUAAUUCAAGAUAUUUGUAUCAAGGCCAAAAUUGAACGCAUUUUGUGUAUUAUGACAAAACUGGAGCAGCAGCAAAUUCAGCAAAGUUUUUAAGUGUCUUCUUUGCACGCCAAUAGACAGCAUUUGCUGUUUCUGAUGUUCCCAGCUGCAAAAGUAGCAUGUUGACAUUUGUGAGUAUAUUCACUCAAUCGAAUGACAUGUAGGUUUGAAAAUAAUGCAUCAAAUGUUGAUAUGUAUCAUAGAAUUGUUCGAUUUUAAUUCCAAAUCAAACCAUGAUUGGGUCUAAAGCACAUAUUAGGACAGGAUGAAUUCCUUGGAAUGGUCAGUCCACUUUCUGGACAAGCUCAUGAAGUAUUUCAUAAUAUAUGAGUGCCUUUUGUUUGGGGGAAGGGUGGUAUGGACAGUGAAAAGAAAUACACGUGUAUACCUUAAAGAAAGUAAAUAAAAGUAGAAAUCACCUUAACCUCCAUGGCAUAGUAACCUCGCCACAAUCUCAAAUUUUGGUCAUGAGUUGCAAGUGCAGAUUCAUAUAUUUUUCGGGCAUUUCCAAGACAAUUUUUAUUACCAAUGGAUGCAAGGUUCUCUUCCAAGUCGAUGCAAUUUUCGUAUAAAGCAAGACCUGGACGUGGCAAGGCAAGAAACCGCUUAUAAGUCUCUCUUGCAUGUUGAAUUCCAUCCUUCUGAAGAAUAAAAUUUACAAGAGCACAUGGGAGGGAGAAUCCAUUAUCACUGCCACCAUGUUUAGCUACAACAAUGAACGCCAUCUCAACCAGCUUGUCAAAAUAAUGUUUUUCUAUUGCAAAAAACUUGAGUGCCAUUACCCAUAAGUCCUCAGCUUCUGUUACUGACACUUUUCUCAACACACUUCUAAGGAGUUCAAAGAUGGAUUGUAGAUCAUCCUUAGUUGGUCCAGGAGUAUUAUUUGUAAAAUAUCUAAUUUCUAAAGAGGCCCUUAAUAGCCAUAAUUUUACUGAAUCUGAAAGUAUUCCGCCGCAUAGUUUUUCUGCUAGCUUCUUUCCUUCAUCUAGUCUCCCUAGUUGCAAGUAAAAUGAGACAUAUUCACAAGCAAGUUCCUCAUUAAUGCAUCCCAAUGUCUCCGCUUUCUCAUAUACCCUCAAGAUACGAGAGAUAUAAUCCUCAGUAUGAUUGGAUAAUCCCGAGAGUUGGUCUUCUUCUUUAUGAUUGGAUAAUCCCAAGAGUUGAUCUUCUUCUUUUCUAGGGGAAGCAACAUCCGCAAAGAACUUUAUAUAUAGCUUAAACAUAACGGAAGAAGGCACAAACUGCAAAGCCUCCUCAUAAACCUGAACUGCUUUUUGCAGUUGUGUCGACAUGAUACCUUCAAUAUUCUCCUGCAUAGUUCUAAAAUUAGUCAUUUCAAGCCUAGCAAGCCAAUCCCAAUAUUCCGGAUCUUCAGAGAAGUCUUUCCUCAUUUCACUUAGGAUCUUCUUGCGCAUUUCUUCUGAAUCUGCCAACUCUAUUGCUUCCAAUAUCUCAAAUAACCGCUUUCUCAGGCCAAAACUAUAAGGAAGAGCUUCAAUUGCCCCACUAUAGAUAGUCUGAAGAAUGCUCAAACCUUGUUCUCCAAACAAAUCCACUUUCUUCUCUGACUCGUCAAUAUUAACAUUUGAUCCAUUACUAUUUCCUUUUUCUUCAUCCAGUGACAUAAACACACCAUCAUUUUCUUCUCUCCACUGUUGCUCAUCAGCAUCCCUAUGAUCACGGACCAGAGUUCCCUUGUCCUCUCCAAGGGCAACCUUCCAGGCCUUUAACUUGUUAAGGUAUGUGAGCUCCAUCCGAAGAUACUCUACCCAAAGGUCUUCUGAAGUUGGGCACACUCUCAAACCACUCUGCAUGAGGGCACGAGCAGCUGCAACAUUUAGGUUAUGGUCAAAUUCCCACGCUGCAGCAUAAAUCCAAACUCCUGGGACCUUUGGAUGAAACCUAAUUAAUUGAGCCAGGACCUUUUUCAUUCUGCCAUUCCUU